UUAACCAACUGAGCCACCCAGGCGCCCUUUAUUUUAUUUUUUUAAAGUGUUAAGUAGGCUCCAUGCCCAACGUGGGGCUCAAACUCAUGACUCCGAGAACAAGAGUUGCAUCCUUUACCGACUGAACCCACCAGGCAUCCCAAGGCAGCUGUUAUGAACACUUGAUGGAGCUAUCUGCAAUCUGAGACUUUCCAUUCAUGUAUUCAGCAAGUUCUUGAAUAUGUAUUAUGUAGCAGGAGCUGAGAACACUACUUCCCAAGAAGAGUUCAUUGAAAGGACAUGGCCACAUUUGCAUGGCUGAGCAUGUGGGUCACAUGGAAGACACUCGCAGCAAGAGAGAAGACAGCAGAAACGUGCUCGUAGAAGGCUAGAAGCAGAACAAACAAGGUCCUGCUUUCAUGAACAGGUGUACAACGGGCAGAGAAACUGCCCAAGUGAGUGGGGCUCGUCCUCACUGGAGAUGGAACAGGGAGGUGGCCGAGGGCUCAGGAGCCCUGGAAGGACUAACUGGUCAGAAAUACCAGUUCUCUGCUAAUGAGAAGAUGAGCUUCAAUAGCACACCUUAAGCCUUUUCUCCGGGGAGAGGAGUUUCCUAGACUUUCCCCUCUUUGCUACAGGUAAGGUCACCUGUGUGCACAGGCCCAUGGGCAGAACGGGAGACCAUAUCUCCCCUGGACCGUUCUCUGGUCCCCACACUUCUGGGGUUGCUUACAUGGAACGGUUACCCCUUCACCUGCCACGGGACCCUGGUCUGUGCUCACCUGGCCACCUCCUUAGGCCAUUACCACCAACCGGACCUACAAAGCCCACCUUCCCCAUGCCGGGUCCACUCUUCCAAGACAUCAUUCCUCACCCGGGUUGGACAGUAUAUGAAGGUGAAUCAGAACAGAACUCACACCUCAGACUCACAUCCUUUCUCCACUGCAAAGAUAAGCUAAGAGAUUUUUAUUGCAUUAAUAAUUAAGGGUAUACUAAUAUCUCAAAAUACUGAUUAUUUCAGACAUACGAUUACAAUAGUCAUACAAUGAAUAGAGUAGGGAUAGAACCAACACACUGGAGGAACACAUCUGUAUUGUACAUCAAAAUCAAUGGCAAAUAUUUCUCCACUUAUUCUUAGAAAAAUACUAGACGCAUUAGAAGCUGAAAAGCUUUGCUUAAAAAUAAUCUGUACGUACAGGAUAGGCUUAGACCUUCAAAAACCAGAUAAAAAUUGGCAAAGUAAAACAAAUGAGCCACACUGGUGAGGCAUCUCGCACAUACUACUAACUUGUAUCACAUACACUAUACCAAGGCAUUGUAGCAAAAUAAAGCAUCCCACUGUACUUAGGAGACUUAUUCAUUACAUUUAUUUUCAUAACUACUUCAUUAGAGGUCGACUGACUUUAGUCUAAUUUGGGUAAAGGCUGACCUGAAAGCAAAGCUGUCUGCAUGUGAGGUAAAGAAAGCAAACAUUCCCAGCCAGUUUUUGCAUGAACAUGGAUUAUACCGUUUAAUGCAGACCCAAGGCCAAACAUUUUUUUGGGGGUAGGUUUUACUUCCAUUACAGGUUCUCUUCACGUAAGAUCAUAAAAAUACAAUACAGUGUCAUGAGCCCAAUUUAAAGUUACAUGAGGCAGCCCCUAUGAACACAGACAGCUCCCAGCUGGGGACAAGAAAAGCCAAAUCCCGUGUCACUAGGGUUCCUUAUGGGAAAGUCAUCAGGUGCAAGGAGCUAGGACGGGUUGGACAGGAGAUGCCACGCCUUAAGUCACUUGAGGAUGGUCUGAUCAUCUCGAUGACCAAAAGAGCCCCCGCGAGAAAUCCGCAACGGCGCUCGAGACUUCCCUCCACUUACAGGCAGCGCUGAGCGGCACUGGAGAGGCUACAGAACACCUUGUUUGAAAUGAAGAGCACAGGCAGUUCCCUUUUGGAAGAACAGUGGAUACUUUGAAAGGAAAUGCUGACAUUCAACCUUCAAAUCUGACAUUGAAAGUGACGUAGAGCCUGGGGCAGGACAUGCCUCAAGUGCUUGAGAGGAAGCCCUGAUUUCCCAGGGGAGUAAACUGAGGCAGCACUUGAGUUUAGAAACUCCUUUUAAGAGCACCCGAAAAUGAUGAUACAGAAUAGCAGUCCUGAAAGGACUUCGGCCAAAAUGAGCUCCCAGGGACCUGCACUGGGACCUGCAGGCACCAGGGGCUGGAUGCGCACACGGGAGGGGCUCAAGGCCCAAAGACGCAAAUGCCUUUUGACUUGGGCAAUGCUGAGACAAGGCGGAAAAGUCUCUUGAGGGCCACACUUUUAUCAUCUUUUCGGUAUUUAGGGCUAUUCCCUUAUCUCUUAUUUUUAGCUGCCUACAUAGUUACCAAAUCAUUAUCUCUGAAAGAACAUUACAGACUACCAGAGUCCAAAGCCGUACUCUAGAAGGGUUAUUGUGUGAAAGGUGACAACAGUCUGUUCGUCAUCAUGCUGGGACCAACACGUUAUCAAGGCACUUCAGAACUUUGGGAAAUUCUUUUGACCCAUCAACUGGCAGCCAUAGAACUGGACCCUCAGAGAGCACAUACAGAAAUCUGUAUACCCUUCAGCAGAAGGAAAAACACCACACACAGACAGAGCUUACUGGCUCUUUCUGGCCCUAGAGACACCUCCACGUGCCGGGGACGUGAGCUAUGGAGCCCGGCAGAUGCUUAGAGCUGCUUUCACUGCUCAGUCCCAGGGUGCGAGGUGUUCAGACGCUAGGAGGAGCUCACCUCCUCGGACAAGCUAGCAAGGUCUGGUCCUGCAGAGCCACUGGUGGAUUCUGCUCACCGCCGCUAUAAAACAGCACUGGGUGUGUGUAAGGAGCUUGUCCGUGAUGCAGCCUUGAAUAGAAGCAGCCCGGGACAUGCUACAGACAAGUCUGCUUAGGUUUAGCACAACCUGACAUCGGUAACUGAUCUCCAGCUUUCAUGAUCUUGCCACAGGGAUGGGUGUUUCCUUUUUUUCUUUUUUUAAAAGAUCUCCUAACUUCACUUAAAUGUUCCCAUCCUUACUGAUGACUACGGAAGAAAC